rnacentral:lncRNA from 1 species
ACCCACCCCAUUUGAGUGGAAGCAUGGCCUGAUCACCCAUGGUGUGCCCUUAUUGGCACUUUGGUCUCAGUUUUGAUUUUGAUUUGGCUCGGCUUGUUUGAAAAAAAGGAAAGUGAAAGUGAGUGAAUGCUUGUUUGGGAUGGGCAACAGAUAGACAGUGGUUGCCGUCCGAAGUGAGUGUUGAGCCCUGAGCUGCAGUUCCGUAGGAUACCUCGUACAGCUAAGUGGCGGUUCGUGCUGGUGCCUGGUACCAGCCUGCCUAAGAGGAUCUGAGAUUCCCGCAAGGGAAGUGGCCAGUGUCAGGCGAGGCAAGGAGAGCGCAGCCUGGGAUCACAAAGAAAGCAAGUCAUCUGCAACCUGCUGGAGCCUAAGACCAGAAGGCAGUUUAUUCUAGCAGGCCCGACUUCCGAGACCAUCCUUGGAUGUCACUAGACUGGGAGCUGUACGUGGACGGGAGCAACUUUGUCAACUCACAAGGAGAGAGGUGUGUGGGAUAUGCAGUGGUAACCCUGGAUGCUGUCAUUGAAGCCAAAUCGUUGCCCCAGGGCACUUCAGCCCAGAAGGCCGAACUCAUUGCUUUAAUUCGGGCCUCAGAGCUAAGUGAAGGUGGAGGCCUAUCCAACAUGGACCAAGAAAGCUCGUGAAGUAACCCGUGUGCUUCUCCGAGAUCUCAUCCCUAGGUUUGGACUGCCCUUACAAAUCGGCUCAGACAACCGGCUGGCGUUUGUGGCUGACUUGGUACAGAAGAGAGCAAAGGUGAUCGGGUGUGGAUCAAGGAUUGGAACGUAGCCCCCUUGCGGCCAUGGUGGAAAAGACCCCAGACCAUCAUCUUGACCACUCCUACAGUUGUAAAGGUAGAGGGAAUCCCAGCCUGGAUCCACCACAGCCAUGUAAAACCUGCAGCACCUGAGACCUGGGAAGCAAGACCAAGCCCAGACAACCCUUGCAAAGUGACUCUGAAGAAGACGACAAACCCUUCUCCAGUCACACCCGGAAGCUGACUGGUCCACGCAUGGCCAAAGCAUAAGGAAACUCACCAUGAGACUCAUUUUCCUUAAAUUUUGAACUUGUACAGUAAGGACUUCAACUGACCUUCCUCAGACUGAGGACUGUACCCAGUGUAUACAUCAAGUCACUGAGGUAGGACAAAAGGUUGUUGCAGUCCUAUUAUUUUAUAGUUGUUAUGAGUGUACCGGGACUCUAAAAGGAACUUGUUUGUAUAAUGCUACUCUAUACAAGGUAUGUAGCCCAGGAAGUUACCAGCCUGAUGUGUGUUAUAACCCAUCUGAGCCCCC